GGGUUUACUCAUUGGUCAGGCUUAAUUGUCUGUACUGGUGAGAUGAGUCUCUACCUUCUGAGGAACUUUCAUGCCAUUUAUUUGGUGUGGUUGGAAAUCAGGACUGUUACUUUGAAAAAAUUGGAGUGUUUAAAGCAGGCUUUCAAGCUUGAACAUAUUAGCAUGGAAUAAUGAAAUAGG
rnacentral:rRNA from 1 species